AGGAUAAACGCUGGCGGCGUGCCUAAAACAUGCAAGUCGAACGCAUCCCUUCGGGGGGUGAGUGGCGGACGGCUGAGUAACACGUGGGUGACCUGCCUCCAUGCGGGGGACAACCGCCCGAAAGGGCGGCUAAUACCGCAGAUCUGGCCGUAUUCGGUUCGGUCAGUAAACCCUUCGGGGGCGUGGAGAGGGCCCGCGGCCGAUUAGCUAGCUGGUGGGUGACGCCUACCAGGGCGUCGAUCGGUAGCUGGUCUGGAGAGGAUGAUCAGCCAGACCUGGGACUGACGACCGACGGCCCAGACCUACCGUACGGGAGGCAGCG
rnacentral:rRNA from 1 species